UUUUACUGCAAUUUUGUGUCUAUUACUAAUUACCAUUAUCAUGUUUGUAUGGGAUUUUAUUGUUUCAGUACUAAUAAGUUGGAUGGGUAGUAAACAAUCAACAGACGUUGAUCUCGCCGUUUGAACUUUCCGAAGCAAUCACAAUUUAUCCUGUUACUAUAUGGUUUUAUAGGUCUAUUCAAGAAAGAAGUGAGAUUAUUGCUGUUAGGACUAGAUAAUGCUGGCAAAACGACGUUUUUGUGUAUGCUAAAGAAUGGCACAAUGGAACAGCAUAGCCCUACUUAUCAACCUGUUGUAGAAGAAAUAACAAUUGGAAAGUUAAAGUUAAUGACAUUUGAUCUUGGUGGAUAUCAACAGGCCCGUAGGGUUUCGAGAGAUUACUAUCCAGCAGUGAAUGCCCUUGUCUUUGUAAUAGAUGCUUGUGACAAACAACCGUCUUCCUGAAAGCAAAUUGGAGUUGGAUUUGAUUUUUAGUGAUGAAUUACUGAAAUACCUGUUAGUUCUGGGUAAUAAAUUUGAUCUUCCAGGGGCUGCAAGUAAACAGCAGUUGUUUAAUGACUUAGGACUUAACUAUCCAGUUUCUGGCAAAGAUAAAACAACUCAUUCUCAGCUUAAAUCACGCCCUGUUGAGCUUUACAUGUGAACCGACAUGGCUAUGAAGAAGGCUUUGAAUGGUUAGGUCAGUACACAUUGACUAACUUGGGUGUUUGGAAUGUUCAAUAUGAACAGCAGUAAACGUAUUGCUAGUUAUUUGAGAAAAUUGAUUUCAUUUACUGUUUUUUUUGUUUGGUUUAUGAACUGCUGGACUGUACUUCCCCUAGUGUCACCUAAAAUUGUAAAAACAAUAAACAAAAAAAGAGAUGU